GAUGAACGCUGACAGAAUGCUUAACACAUGCAAGUCUACUUGAUUCUACUUCGGUAGUUGAUGGUGGCGGACGGGUGAGUAACGCGUAAAGAAUCUGCCCUUUAGUUCGAGAUAACCUUUGGAAACGAAGGAUAAUACCGGAUAUUAUGGAGACGUCGCAUGACGAUUUCAUGAAAGCUAUAUGCGCUAGAGGAGGACUUUGCGUCCCAUUAGUUAGUUGGUGAGGUAAUGGCUCACCAAGACCGCGAUGGGUAGCCGGCCGGAGAGGGUGAUCGGCCACAAGGGAACUGAGACACGGUCCUUACUCCUACGGGAGGCAGCAGUGGGGAAUAUUGGACAAUGGGCCACAAGCCUGAUCCAGCAAUUCUGUGUGCACGAUGAAGGUCUUCGGAUUGUAAAGUGCUUUCAGUAGGGAAGAAAAAAAUGACGGUACCUACAGAAGAAGCGACGGCUAAAUAUGUGCCAGCCGCCGCCGUAACAC
rnacentral:rRNA from 1 species